GAUGAACGCUGGCGGCGUGCCUAAUACAUGCAAGUCGAGCGAACAGACGAGGAGCUUGCUCCUCUGACGUUAGCGGCGGACGGGUGAGUAACACGUGGAUAACCUACCUAUAAGACUGGGAUAACUUCGGGAAACCGGAGCUAAUACCGGAUAAUAUAUUGAACCGCAUGGUUCAAUAGUGAAAGACGGUUUUGCUGUCACUUAUAGAUGGAUCCGCGCCGCAUUAGCUAGUUGGUAAGGUAACGGCUUACCAAGGCAACGAUGCGUAGCCGACCUGAGAGGGUGAUCGGCCACACUAUAACUGUAACGCGGUCCAGACUCCUACGGGAGGCAGCAGUAGGGAAUCUUCCGCAAUGGGCGAAAGCCUGACGGAGCGACGCCGCGUGGGUGAUGAAGGUCUUCGGAUCGUAAGACUCUGUUAUUAGGGAAGAACAAAUGUGUAAGUAACUAUGCACGUCUUGACGGUACCUAAUCAGAAAGCCACGGCUAACUACGUG
rnacentral:rRNA from 1 species